ACUCCUACGGGAGGCAGCAGUGGGAAUAUUGCACAAUGGGGGAAACCCUGAUGCAGCCAUGCCGCGUGUGUGAAGAAGGCCUUCGGGUUGUAAAGCACUUUCAGUAGGGAGGAAGGUAGUGUAGUUAACACCUGCACUAUUUGACGUUACCUACAGAAGAAGCACCGGCUAACUCCGUGCCAGCAGCCGCGGUAAUACGGAGGGUGCAAGCGUUAAUCGGAAUUACUGGGCGUAAAGCGUGCGCAGGCGGUCUGUUAAGCGAGAUGUGAAAGCCCCGGGCUCAAGCCUGGGAACUGGCAUUUCGAACUGGCAGUACUAGAGUCUUGUAGAGGGGGGUAGAAUUCCAGGUGGUAGCAGGUCGAAAUGCGUAAGAGAUCUGGAGGAAUACCGGUGGCGAAGGCGGCCCCUGGCACAAAGACUAGACGCUCAGGCACGAAAGCGGU
rnacentral:rRNA from 1 species